AUGGAUCGAGGUUGGAUGAGUCAACCAAGAGCUAGUGCUGCUUACAAAGAUGGUGUCGAACAAUUUCUGUCUUUUGCAUUCCAUGAUGUUCCAGCUGGUGAUAGAAUUCUUUGUCCUUGUGUAAAUUGCCGAAAUAAAGCUAUGCAGAGUUAUGAUGGAGUGAAAACUCAAUUGAGAUGUGAUGGUAUUCUUCAAGGUUACACUAAGUGGGUUUGCCAUGGAGAGGAUUACAGUGAACCAUCAUUUGCAUUUGCUCAUGUAUCAGAUAACAGUGGCAAUUUUUCUAUUCCUGGCAUCCCAAGGAAUGUUGUUGGAGAAGGCAACCAUGGAAGGAUGGAUGACAUGCCAGGACUCUUAAGUGCUGUCUUUGCUAUGGCUAACAGUUGUGAAUCUUUAUCAAGCACAUCUGAUGGUGAAUUAGAUGCGUUGAAUUUGAGAAUAUGGUACCUAAUUCAGUUGAGGAUGAGAAUGCAGAUGCUCAAACAAGGAAGAAACCUAAUACGUAUGCAAGCUUCUUGGAGGAUGCAAACACAGAGUUAUACCCUCGAUGUAAAGCAUUUUCUAAGUUGUCAUUUCUCAUCACCUUGUAUCACAUGA
rnacentral:rRNA from 1 species